GCCGGCGUAGCUCAGUUGGUAGAGCAGGAGACUCUUAAUCUCUUGGUCGUGGGUUCGAGUCCCUCCGCCGGUACCA
rnacentral:tRNA from 1 species